CGUCCGGGCGGCUCCCGCGGCCCCGGCGGCGCGGGGUUCCGAGCGGCUCCGUCCAUCCCUUCUCCUCCUUCAUCUCCUCCUCCUCCCCUCACGCUGCCGCCCUCGUUCCCUCCGCCCCGCGGGGAGCCGCCCGAGCCCCGCCGCCCCGCGGGCACCCGGCCUCCGCGGGGGCGGUGGGCGAAGGAAUAAAAGCAGGCCCCGGGAGGGGCGAGGGGCUGCAGCCGGAGCCCCGGCCAACAGGGGAAGAGGAUGAUAGGUGGAAAUGAAUCCUGUACUGCAGGACCAAUAUCGCUGUCCUACUUAACCUGUGUGGCUCACUUACUGGGAGAAUGGACUGGUGUGGAGCAUCUUGAAGAUUAUCUGGGUUAUACAGUCUACCUUUCAUGGUUGCUUCUUCCACUUGCAAUAGCUUUUAUAUUUCCAGGAAUUUUCUUCCUCACCUUUAUCUACAGUGCUGUUAUCCUUCUUCAUCUUCAUAAAAGGAAGAGGAAAUCAAGUGGAGAUAAUUCAGGUAACGUUUGGGAUGGUGCAAGAAAAAUGUUGACAACCAUAUGGGAUGGACAUGGAAGAAUAUGGCAUGGUUACGAGAUUCAUGGUGAUGAAAACAUUCCAGAAGGACCUGCACUUUUUGUGUUUUAUCAUGGAGCUUGUCCUGCUGACAUUAUCUAUUUCAUAUCUAGACUUCUUUUAGAAAAGAAGAGAUUUUGCUACGUAGUAGCUGAUCAUUUUGUCUCUAGAAUACCAGGUUUUAAAAUAUUAGUUGAAGCAUUUGAAAUUUUGCAUGGACCAAAAGAAGCAUGUGUCAAUGCUCUGAAGAAAGGCUAUCUGUUGGGUAUUUCUCCAGGUGGAGUUCGGGAAGCACUUUUUAGUGAUGAAACAUAUGUUAUUAUAUGGGGCAAUCGAAAGGGCUUUGCUCAGGUUGCCAUUGAUGCGAAAGUGCCCAUCAUUCCUGUGUUUACACAAAAUGUUCGAGAAGGCAUUAGGACAUUAGGAAGAAUAAAAAUACUUAGGAAACUAUAUGAACGUAUUAGAUUGCCAGUAGUUCCUAUGUACGGUGGGUUUCCAGUCAAGCUUCGUACAUUUGUUGGAGAACCCAUUCCAUAUGAUCCAAAUAUAACUGCUGAGGAACUGACUGCUAAGACAAAAUCAGCACUCCAGGCCCUAAUAGAAAAACAUCAGAAAAUACCAGGAAAUAUAUGUAGGGCUUUAAUGGAACGAUUUCAAACACGACAGAAAGAAGACUAAGGUCUUCUGAAUUUGAAAAUAUGGGCGAAGUGGAGUGACACAUAAAAGUCAAAGAAAUUGCAAGUCAGCACAAUUGAUCCUGGGAAGAAAGCAGAGGCAAAAGGUGACACUACUCUAACCAGUCAGAGAAGUUGUUCUGGGGAUUAAGUUUCCUGCCUUUAUCAGGACAUUGGUAGGGCAUGCCUGAGGACAUCAGACCUCUGAUGAAGUACCACACAGGUACAAUGUAACCUCUCCCGCUGCUGCACUGGCACAGCCUGCUGGAAUCUGAAUCAUCAUGAGAAGGUGGCAGCGUUUGAAACAUAGACACUACAGAUGGCAAGCACAGCCCCAAGCAAAAGCAAAUCCCCAAAGAAAAGCACACAAAAAAGCAAAUACCUGAGACAAACAGGCCUUUAAAAUAAAUGAAUGAACAAACAAACAAACAAAAAAGAGAAAGCCUUAAAGGGAGACCCUUGGAAGAGUUACAAAGAUUGCUAGGAACAAACAACACAAUAAGGAUGGGGUGAAUUGCAUAAUGCUGCCUGAUCCAUCUAAAGGGAGUCUCCAGAUGUUCCCUGUAACUCUCACGGAGAUGUGAGUUGUCUCAUCAAGAAAAUGCAGCUGGUGGAUGCAGGAGUCAAAGCUUAUUUUUCCAAAAGCAUCCUCUAAUGCCACUGUACAUUGAGACGCUUUGGAUAUUCAGUCUGAAAAACAAUGGCCACAUUUUUCAGAGCUACUGAGCGUUGCUGGGUCCCACCUGAGAGGACCAGAACUUCAGGCCCUGACCACCCUCCAAAAUGCCAGGGUAAGCUCCAGCUAAACCAUGUUUCCUGCAGACAGACAUCAUUGCCCAGUGACUUUUUUGUUGCUGAUUCCAGGUGGAAACAAAUAUCCCUGCAGAGCACUGUGCAGGACGAGGAUUCAAUUAUGGACUAAGCUGGAGACAGACAGAGACAACCUGCAGUAAAGGCAGAUGCUGCUGGCACCAAGCCAGUGCUCAGACGACUUUCCCCUUUUUAUUGAUUUCUGCUUCCAACAGUGGAGUUGAUCAAAUUCCAAAUUGGGACUCCUAUGAACUUUACAGACAGGUAAUUUAAGGUCAACGCAAGAUUAACUUGCUUAAAACUAUGAGAUAGUUUGGAGAUGAACUGCCGGAGCCGUAAUAAUCCAUUAGCUCAUUUUCAAUUUAUUUAUAAAGCUAAAGUACUUAGGCUUAUCCCUCCAUACUUCGGGACAUUAUCAUUGAUCUUUCCCUCUCUAAGCUCGUCUACUUGGUUAAUAAUGCCAGUCUUGUGAGUGCCUGUGGCAGUCACACAGCAGUGGGAAACACUUCCCAUGCUUGUUGAUGUGCUCAUGGCAGUACAGUUUAUGCUCACAGCACUUAACAAGAACCCAACUGAAAAUAAAUGGCUUGGUUACUGGAAGACCCACUAAGUAUGAGCAUCCCUUUGUCUCUAAUUUUGUGUGUAGCCUAUGAAUGAGAAAUCUUGGAAAAACCUACUGCUUAGGAACAAAUAUGAGGUCUACAAUAUGCAUGGUCCAGUAUGCAAGAUGAAUGCAAUGGCACACAGGUAAAAGAUGCCUGUCUGGUCUGUCUGGCUCUACAUGCUCUGGAGCUAUGUUUUUGUCAGUAAAUUGAGUUCUCUUCCCCUUUCACAGUGAAAAGAAGCACUAUUAAGAACAAGAGAAUAAUAUUAAUGUAAAUUAGUUUAAAUAGGUAUUACUGUGUGAACAACCUACUUAAGAGUGUAAGAGUGUAGUGUACAUUAGAGCUCACUAGCCCCAAAACAUGCCAGACAGCAGGUUUCCAACCCAUCUUUACAUCAAAUUCACUUGUGGUUCUGUGCCUGACCCUGGGGCUGAAGUACUCCCACAGCAAAAAUACUAUACAGUAUAAGUACUUUCCUGCCUCAAGUAUAUAGCACAGAAGUCACUGAAUAAAUGCCUUUUGUCCCUGUGCAGUAUACAGGAGAAUAACUUAGGUUGGCCUUUCCAAGAUUCUUAUUGUGGUGGUAGGAAGGCACUACUCCUUCCCAUACCAUAUACGUAGGUCUCUGGGUACUUUAUGAGCAGUUAAUACUGCUCAAACUUGUACUUUAUGAGCUAAGUAAAGUAGGAGAAAAAAACAUUCGUCGAUAAUUUUGCCAAGGCACUUGGGAUUUUUAUUACCAAGUCCCUAUAUUUAUUUAUUUAUUUUUCAGCAUGGUUUUCUACAGGAACCAUAGCCAUUUCUCUCUUUUAAGGCAGGAGAGGUGAUGACUGUUCUGAAUAAGCACCAUUCAAGCAACUUGCAAAAUUUUCUCAAUUUCUUUCCUUUGUUAAAGAUCUAUUUAAAAUGUCUGCUAUCUUUGCUUAACUCAGAAAGACUUUGCUUUGCUUCUCUCAUGUGGAAAGUUUACAUUUAAAACAUUCUGGAGGAGACUUUUGCCUGAGAGGUUAAUCGUUUGCCUAGAAACAUGUCAAGUAAAUCCCUUUUACCCCAGGGUAGCUAGUAGGUUCACUAUGGUAGCUACCCACCCACUUAACGAUUUUUUACCUCAUGAAUUAUAUACUUAUGGGGUGUCAUCAAAUGACUUUACAGUGCUCAAGACGGUGGUUUUGAUGUCUUCUGCCCCCUGGUUCACAUGAUUAGCUAAGAAUGUUUUUUAUGAGCUUCUUUCUUUCUGGAUUCUACUGGUUUCUUUGGUGGGGAGUCACAAGAGUUACAGGGACAGAGGAUCUAGGACUCUUGUGACAGUAGGACAGUUAUAAUUUCUGUUGCUGGGCUGUUGCUUCCCCAUUGCACUUUGCCAAGCUACAAGAACAAACUGCUCCCUUCUUAGCCAAACUACAAGAUGUAUGUGAAAAACAAAAACUUGAAGAAUCCGUCAGUCACAUGUAACCACCAUGUGCUGUAAAAUUCAAUUACUCAGCAUAUAUUUAUAUAGAUAUAUGUCUCCUCUCUUUGAACUCACGCUAAUUAGUUGCUGCUUGUUGGGUUGUUUUCCCCUGGUCUCCCUUUCUUGGUCACCUGAGAGGCCAAGAAGAAACAUCUAAGGAGUGGGAGCAUGGCUAAAGGGGCAGAAAGGCUGAGAGAUUUGGGUGCUGUCCUUUGUUGCACAAACUCCAGGUGCUGCCUGGGGUGACAUUGCACACCCAAAUGUGGCAAUGAAGUCCAAGAGGACUGUUAAGACCAUUGGUGCAGGCAAAGUCAGAACAACUUGUGUAAUAAUCUAAUAAUUAAAGCACUUGUGCAGGAGGCAGGAGUAGAAGAAACUAAACCCUCCUCAACCCUAGGGGGUUUGAACACAGGAAGAUCAAGGAAGCUGCUUCUUCUCUGGCGUUUUUCCAAUUACCAUGCUAAGGAUAAGGAUGGGUGAGUCCUACCUCUCUCUCACCCACCACCCUAUGGGGCUCACUGCACAGUAAAUAGCGAUGCUUUCAGGAGUCUGAAAGGUGAAUAAAAGCAACAGAGCACCAUCUCCUGUUCUCUGUGGACAGUGGCCUUCUCAAGUAAUGGAGGGGUUUCUGUCCUGGGUUUCUGCACUGUUCACUCUUUCUAUAUUCAUUCUGGUUGAAAUGCUGCAAGAGCCCUGAGAGCAGAGUCCAGAAGUCUCCCCCUUGCCUAGGGAGCACCCUCACUGCCCAGCAGCAGGGUCAGGCUCCCCUUGCUUCUCUCUCCACGGUGCUGUGGAUCCCCAGGGAUCAGCCAGGGAGUCUGGCCCCAUGCUGGAGAGCACUUAGGCCCUGAGGGCCAAGGAGCAGGGAGGGCCUGCUGGCCUGCUCCAUGUGCAAGGGCAGCUUCUGGGGAGGUCUUCCUUUGAAAUACCAUUCAGGGCCCUGACUGCAGUGGCCAGAGCACCCUGCUCUGGGUUAGGUGGCCAUUGGGGUGUCUGGUGGUUUCCUCAAGCUCCCUGCUGUGACAACACCAGUAGGAUUGUCUAAGUCUCAUGUGGAGCUGUCAAGUCUUCUACAGGUCGCAGGGGUAGCCUGGGAGCUGCUGGCACCACUCCUGUGCUUAGGGAUGGUGCUCCUGUGAUGGUUAUUUCUCAUAUCACAGAACGAUUAAUGGAGGGAAGGGUCUCUGGAGGUCAUCUGGCCCAACUCCCAGUCAAAGCAGGGCCAGCUUUGGUCUUGCCUGAUAAUGUCAGAAGCUCAAAAGAUGGCAUCAUUCGCUGACCCAUCAUGGUAGAAGAGUUUUAAGAAAGACUCUAGAGCCAUGGUAAAAUGACCACAGUGUACUUUAUUUAAUGAUUUUGGUACCUUGUGUUGCAAUAAAAUAAAAAAAAUCUACAAAAUCCAAAUAUAUAAAAUUUUCAAGUUUUCCUUUUAAGUUUUACAAGAAAAAUCAAGUUGUAACCAAGGAAAUUUGUUAGUAUGAAGCACUACUUUCAACUUCAUUUCAUCACAAAUUGCAACUUACUUAACAGACCAAAAGAACUAUGGUACUGCAGUACAUCAAAUACUUCACACACUGUGUUCUUUACUAUAGCACAUGUAACCUCUGCCAGGGAGACAGCGGUCUCUAGCCAAUAAAGACACUCUUCACAAUCUGAACUCUAAAGGAAUGUUUGUAUACAUGGAAUCAGAAUAUAUAUAUUUACAGGAAGAUUUUUUAAUAACUAUUUUGAUUCUUCAUUUCAAAUAAAAUACCAAAUACAUUUUUACAAUGUUUACAAGUCAAAGCACAAGUUCAGCAAUGAUUAUCAUUCACCUCAAGUCACUGUGCUUGUACUGGGGGGAUAUCUACACUGCUCCAUAAACACAAAUGUGAUCUUCCAUAACUUCAUUUCCGCAACGGUGACUAAGGAGUAUAAGCACAGUAACAAUUAUUUUAGCACAAUCAGUGUAUAAUGCAACAGUUUACAACAGAGAACUGAGAAACUAUUGGUCCAUUCUGUUCAAUUUGCUGUUUAUCUGCCAACUGUUACGUGAGUUGUUGUCACAUAAAUUGUGUACAAGAUAAGAGUUAAAUAACACAACUCGAAUAGGAGAGAGCACACAUUUUUUAAGGCAAAUUAAUAAGCAGCUUAUGGUGUUUUUCAUUAAACUAUACCCCAACAGAACCUAAAAAUAAAAUGUAUGUUCUGCAACUGUCAAUGAUUAUGUCUAGUUAAGUUGUUCUCCUCUAUAAAUUGAUCAACAUGGCUUUAAACCUAGUUAUUCAAAAUGGAAAUAACUCCUCCCCCCAAAUCCCCAAAUAUAGAAAGUGCAUGAUUUUUAUGUGCCAAAACAAAACAAAAGGCAGCUGAGGUAGUUAGAUGUAAAAUGUAUUUACGAAAAAUAACUGAAAAAUUAAAUCCAGGACAUAUACAGUAAAAAUUCACCCAUUUGGAAUUAAUUUUAUAUCAUGCAACAACUUAAAGCCAAGCAGGAGUCUUUAUGAUUUCUGAACAAAACAAGAAAAUGAUUUUAGUAAUAAUAACAUAGGAAUGAACAAGGAAUAUACUACUGGAAUUUGAAUUUCAAGUAUUUGAGUCUAUUUGCAUGUGCAUUUUUUUUACAGGCUUUUUGUAGUGUUAGGAAGUAAUUUACUUUUUAUCAGGCAUCACAUAAGAUCUGGACUACCUCUGGGACUGCAGCUCCUGAAAGGCAGAAAUACAUCAUGAAUGCCUGAAGAUGCCUGUGCCCAAAGCUACCACCAUUUCAACUUGAGUGAACUUCUAGGCUCCCAUCCUCCACUGAGGCCACCCAAGAGUCACAGGCCCAGGGUCCCGUCUUGUGGGAACUGAUAGGAUAGACGUUCUGCAGGCAUAACCUGGGAUGUUCCCACAUGUCUGAAUAUGCAGGGGACAUACACAUGUGACAGGGAUCCCCUCUACCAAUGUUCCUGCUCAUUCUGUG